UGGUCUCACCUUUCUGCAGCGGCAUCCCUGCCUCCGCCAGCAGGCCCUUGUACAAGUCAGACUUCAGGAACCUGGGGAGCAAGGAACACGGAAACACAGGCUGCGGUUUCUGAACACCACCCUUGGAAAGGGCCACGGCUCCCGUGGAAACGGCCGCCUCCAGGCCUGGGCAGGACAAGCCGGGGACGACUGGGAGCAGGGGAGCCACCGCGGUGUGCUGGGGACAUGUCAGAUGACUGGGAGCCAGAGGGCCACUGUGGGGCCAUGUGCACACCACCUAGGAAGGACUGAACACGGGGACUGAAACACAUCCGAUACGGUGACGUCUGUGAUUUUAUGAUGGUGGUAAAUGAAGGUGUCAAGCACCUGCCUUUCCCCCGCAGUCUGCCCCACUGGACGCCCAGAGAGCAGGUGAGGGAGGCGUCUCAUGGAACCAUCCCGCCAGUACAGAGGCAGGGGUGGAACUAGAACGUGCCCCCGUUGCAGUCACAGCAAAAGCGCAGUGGCUGCUUGCGCCACGAAAGGAGAGGCAGCUGCACUUCACGUAUCCUGAUGGAAGAUGCCAAACACCAUCUCAACAAAACCAGGUAAACAAGUCACAAACCCUGGAGGUGAAUCUGACCAAGCCUUAAAUGUAACUGCCA